rnacentral:tRNA from 1 species
GCUCAUGUAGUCCAACAGCAGAGACACGACGUCGAGAGCGUCGCGAGUGCAGGUGCGAAUCCUGCCAUGAGCACCA